UUGUGGAGGAGGACGCCGAAGGUGGGGCUAAUGACUGGGGUGAAGUCGUAACAAGGUAGCCGUACCGGAAGGUGCGGCUGGAUCACCUCCUAACAGGGAGACAACAAAAUGUUUAUAUUAAUUUUGUCACCUUAGGUCGAUCGGUAUCUCAAAUUUUUAAUCUAUGUUGAUUAAAAAUUUCGGUUUCUAAGUUUUUUCUAGGUCACACCCAUUCCUUUCCCUGGACCAUUAGCUCAGGUGGUUAGAGCGCACCCCUGAUAAGGGUGAGGUCCCUGGUUCAAGUCCAGGAUGGCCCAUAUCUCUAUGUUGGGGGUAUAGCUCAGUUGGUAGAGCGCCUGCUUUGCAAGCAGGAUGUCAGCGGUUCGAGUCCGCUUACCUCCACUGAAUACCACCUCUUUCAUGUCUAAAGGGAAUUGUUUUGAGAUGUCACCUAUUUUAUUCUGAACGAAUUUAGCCUCCUAAUUUUUACUACUUAAAUUAAGAUGCUGGAUUCAUUGAAUUAAUUCAUUGAUUUCAGAGAACCUUGAAAACUGCAUAGAUUAUUUUAAAGACAAUUAAGCAUCUUUUAUGAUGCAGAUUUAUUAUUUGUGCUUAAAGCAUUUAUAACAAUUCUAUUGAGCUGAUGCUUCAAUUUUGAAGUUAUUGGUCAAGCUACAA
rnacentral:misc_RNA from 1 species